GCCACCGUGGUGUAACAGUAACACGUCUGACCCGGCACGUCAGAAGACGUGGGUUCGAAUCCCAUCAGCGGCG